CUGGUCCUCGCCCUCCUGUCCUAGCUGUGGCCCCCCGGGUCCCGGCGCCCACUGCCCUGGCUCUCCGCGCUCCGCGCCAGCCGGCAGCACGGAAGUCAACUCACACUUGUGGGCUCGCUACCAGGACAUGCGGAGACUGGUGCACGACCUCCUGCCCCCUGAGGUCUACAGUCUCCUGAACCCAGCAGCUAUCUACGCCAACAAUGAGAUCAGCCUGCGUGAUGUCGAAGUCUAUGGCUUCGAUUACGACCACACACUGGCCCAGUAUGCAGAUGUGCUGCAUCCUGAGAUCUUCAGUGCUGCCCAUGACAUCCUAACUGAGCACUACAAGUACCCAGAGGGGAUUAGGAAAU